rnacentral:rRNA from 1 species
CCUACGGGGGGCUGCAGUAACGAAUCUUCCCCAAUGCACGAAAGUGUGAGGGAGCGACGCCGCGUGGAGGAUGAAGUCCUUCGGGAUGUAAACUCCUGUCAGGGGUUACCAAGUUCUGAGGAGCCCCAGAGGAAGUGGCGGCUAACUCUGUGCCAGCAGCCGCGGUAAGACAGAGGCCACAAGCGUUAGGCGGAAUCACUGGGCUUAAAGCGUGUGUAGGUGGAUGCCUAAGUACCUUGUGAAAUCCCACGGCUCACCCGUGGAACUGCUUGGUAUACUGGGUGUCUUGAGCCAUCUAGGGGCAGCUGGAACGAACGGUGGAGCGGUGAAAUGCGUAGAUAUCGUUCGGAACGCCAAAGGUGAAAACAGGCUGCUGGGGAUGUGCUGACACUGAGACACGAAAGCCAGGGGAGCAAACGGGAUUAGAUACCCUUGUAGUC